rnacentral:rRNA from 1 species
UACGGAGGGGGCUAGCGUUGUUCGGAAUUACUGGGCGUAAAGCGCACGUAGGCGGCUUUGUAAGUUAGAGGUGAAAGCCCGGGGCUCAACUCCGGAAUUGCCUUUAAGACUGCAUCGCUAGAAUUGUGGAGAGGUAAGUGGAAUUCCGAGUGUAGAGGUGAAAUUCGUAGAUAUUGGGAAGAACACCGGUGGCGAAGGCGGCUCACUGGCUCGUAACUGACGCUCAUGCAACGACAGCGUGGGGAUCAAACAGG